AUUGAACGCUGGCGGCAUGCCUUACACAUGCAAGUCGAACGGUAACGGCGGGCAACCUGGCGACGAGUGGCGAACGGGUGAGUAAUAUAUCGGAACGUGCCCAGUAGUGGGGGAUAGCCCGGCGAAAGCCGGAUUAAUACCGCAUACGACCUACGGGUGAAAGGCGGGGGAUCGCAAGACCUCGCGCUAUUGGAGCGGCCGAUAUCAGAUUAGGUAGUUGGUGGGGUAAAGCCUACCAAGCCUACGAUCUGUAGCUGGUCUGAGAGGACGACCAGCCACACUGGGACUGAGACACGGCCCAGACUCCUACGGGAGGCAGCAGUGGGAAUUUUGGACAAUGGGCGCAAGCCUGAUCAGCCAUGCCGCGUGC
rnacentral:rRNA from 1 species